UGUGAGGUGAAGAGCUAAAUAUCGAGCCUGGUUGUGGAAAGCUGCAAUUUUACCGUGACACCAACUAUCACCAUGAGGAUUUGGCUUUAUGUUCUCUUUUUGAUAUAAGUUCUCAAGAAAAGGAUUGUGAAACUGUAAAAGAAAAGGCGUCAUCAUCAUGCACAUCAGACUUCCAGGCUACAGAUGUGGCAUAACAUUCUUAACGCGAAUUGCGUGGGAAGCUGCCAACUACUAUAUUUCUUGUUGUUUUUUUUUUAUUUUAUUUUGUUUUUGUAUUUUUUCUUCAUUUGAUUAAUGUUUAGCAAAUUUUAUAGCCGUUAAUUGGAAAGAAGAAACCAUGAGAAUGCGUUUCCUGGAAUUUCUGGACACAUUGGUUCCAACUACAAAGUCAUCUUGUUAAUAGGCCGUGUAAUGGAGUUUACUGAUUGUUCAACAGAGAGCGAUGCCAAGGAGUCUAUUGCCAAAAACUUGCUAAGUGUUAUCAUGCAUUAAAGGCUCAUUCCAUGUGAAAGCUAAAACUUUAAUUGUGGGUGGAAUGAGGGAAGAUGCAUUUCGAAAAACAAAUGUUCUUCAUCUUUGGCGUUUUGGUUUAUCUCAGCUAAUUCCACCCAAUAUUAAUGCUUUAGAUUGGCCUGUAAUUGGCUUUUAACAGAGAUAUGGAAUCUAAUGAUGGACACUUAAUCCUCUAUCCACAUAACUCCCUAA